UAAAUAAAUAAAUAAGAAAGGGAGAAAAGGGGAGGGAAUUCAUGCGUGCAAACCAUCCUCUCGAAACUUCCUCUCUUGUUCUUCACUCACCCCUCAUGGACGCCAACCCCCUUGUGUCGUUUGUACCACUGCCAAUCGUUCAAUCACCACCGUUUGUCUCCCAUUGGCCGUCAAACCCAAUCGUCGUCGGUUGUUCGUGGGGUGUCAGUUUUGUUUGCGGCCAUUCAGCUCCAACCACCGGAUCCGUUGAGCCACGCACCGACUGUUCACAACUUAGUUGUUAGGCACGUCAAUUUCUGCUCCGCGUCGUGCUGCGCCACCCUAUGCCACCGCUAGCAUUGCCGAAUCUGGAAGUUGAGGUUAGCUUUGGGUUGUCCGGUGAGUUUUAUGUGUUUUUCUUGAAGAUCUAUACUACCCAUUAGCCUUUAAAUGACAAGUUUCUACCAUGUUUUGCUAUUAGAUUGGAGAGUAGCAGUGUCGUUUAGUUAUUGUCUAGCGGAUUUGAUAAGGUUUUCGUCAAGAUUUUGGUAGUUAGUAAAGGUGAGAAUUAUUAAGAUGUUGAUAUAGUUUUGGGUAAAGAUUUGUUUAUGUUAGUUGUAUGUUUUGAAGAGUUUUCGACUACCCAUUAAGUUUCGACUUUGAUUUUGUAAUACCCAUUACAUUUCGUUUUUAGAUUUCGAGUCCUUCGAGAUUUUAGUCGUUGUCCAGCCAUUCGGAAGCUCAAAUUUAGGCGUUUUGGCAUCACUUCGGUAAAAUUCUAAGAUUUAUAGAGUCGUGAGUACCCGUCUAAUAUUAGAGAUAAUAUUGAAUAACCCAUGAUGUUGGUGUUUUUUUUUCGAAUUUAGAAAGUACUUAUGUUGUUGUCCAUUGAAGUUAAGGGUACUUUGUUAAGUUCUUGGUAGGGUUUGGAAUAGUUUCCACAUAACAUCUCUGGUUUUUAUUUUGGUUUGAGCUACACAAGAAGAGUUAAAAUGUAAAGUUAGAUUCUUUUGAAAGUCAACUCAAUUUCUAACAAGUUUCGUGAAUAAAGCUUGAGCAAAUUCUAAGGCUAAAUGAAUGAUCUUUUGAAGUAGAAAACAAGUCACAAACUUUUUACGCAAUUUUGAAAAGCCUCUAGUUUUUUAAGUAUUCUAGAGGGUACAAAUGGAACUAAAAGCCCUAUUUCUAAGUUAUUAUAGAAAGGCAAGAAUACUUAAGGUCGUUUAAGACAAGUUUGGAUAAGUUUCUAUGUAUUUGACUUGUUUGAUUGGUAUUGAGAUUUUUAAUGGAUCUAAACCUCUAAGGUAGGAAUAUUGAAUAUAAGAGCGUAUGGAUACAAAAGACAACUUAAGUUUGGGUGCUUAUGACGUUAAGAGUUAAGUUGAAAUUUAAGGGUUCCAAAAGUGUAUUCACCUAAAAGACCCAUUGAGCUUGAACUAAAUUGGAUGCUCAUUGGGUUAAGUAUCUAGAUUUCGAGUCAAAAGGUUCAUGUAUGAAAAGCUUAGUCUAAUCCCAAGCGCUUUGGAAAUUCAUGGACCUUAGAAGUAUAAAAUGAAUUUAGGUGGCCUUAUAAGGUAUUUUGCAAAUAGUUGUAGUCUCGUGCUAUGUGGAGACAAUGAUGAGACCUUAAUCUAUGUUUUAGGCCAAAUUGAAAUGGGAAAAGCGUAUAAUCUUGAGGGAUCGAGUUUUUAAGGUGCUAAGUAUGUGUGAGCUCUGUUUGACCGCGUGUUUCCUUGUGGAUAUGGAUGGCGUGUGAGCUAUUUUGGGUCGUGUAUAUCAUUGUCGAAUUGGGUGGAAAUUACUAUCGUGGCGGGUAUUAAAUAUGCGUGAGCUAGUUGUGGCUAUAUGAUUCUUUGAUCAUGUGUGAGCUAUGCUUGAUCGUAUAUUUAAGUGUCUUGCCAUGGUCGAAUUGGCUACAGGUUUGUUUGUAUUACUUAUGAAUUAUGGUAAUAAAUGAUUUUAACGUUUUAAUUAUUAUUUCUUUAUGGAUGUCACAUUUAAAAAAUUUGGAAGUAUGUUUUACGAACUUUUAAUUCUAAAAACUUAUCACUCAUUAAGUUUUAUCUCACGUUUUCAAUGUUUUCUCCUCCUCCAAGUAGCGAUCAAAUACUAAGCGUCGGUUGAAUCUCCAUCAUCGAUUGUAGAUCUUCAUUUUGUAUGUAUAUAGUUAGUUUUGUGUUUGCAUCAUAGGGUAGUUAGAUGUAGCAAGAGAGACAUUAAGGACUUGUGCUUUGAAAGAUUCUUGAAUAAAUUGUAAUCAUUUUGUAUGUAAUAUCAAGCUUGAUUCGUAAUCUCUACUUGAAUUCUAAGAUCGUUUGGAUGUGUGUGGUGAGACACACUUGUUGUGUUGUAUUAUCUAAAUGAAGAUAUCUCCCCUUUCAGGUUUGGCUA